AGUGAACGCUGGCGGUAGGCCUAACACAUGCAAGUCGAACGGCAGCACAGUAAGAGCUUGCUCUUACGGGUGGCGAGUGGCGGACGGGUGAGGAAUACAUCGGAAUCUACUUUUUCGUGGGGGAUAACGUAGGGAAACUUACGCUAAUACCGCAUACGACCUACGGGUGAAAGCAGGGGAUCUUCGGACCUUGCGCGAUUGAAUGAGCCGAUGUCGGAUUAGCUAGUUGGCGGGGUAAAGGCCCACCAAGGCGACGAUCCGUAGCUGGUCUGAGAGGAUGAUCAGCCACACUGGAACUGAGACACGGUCCAGACUCCUACGGGAGGCAGCAGUGGGGAAUAUUGGACAAUGGGCGCAAGUCUGAUCCAGCCAUACCGCGUGGGUGAAGAAGGCCUUCGGGUUGUAAAGCCCUUUUGUUGGGAAAGAAAAGCAGCAGGUUAAUACCCCGCUGUUCUGACGGUACCCAAAGAAUAGGCACCGGCUAACUUCGUG
rnacentral:rRNA from 1 species